rnacentral:tRNA from 1 species
GGCAGCGUGGCUCAGUGGAAAGAGCACGGGCUUGGGUGUCAGAGAACAUGGGUUCUAAUCCCACCUCUGCCU